UGAAAAAUUAAGAUGACCCCACAGUUAUGGCACCAUUUCCACCACAAAGAACAAUGUUAAUCAUUUAAAUUUCCACAAGUUACUGUUGCCUACUACUUGUUCCAUAAGGAGACAACAGUGUAAGUGAAGAACAUGCUUGAUAUAAAAUAAUAUAUAUGAUUUGUAAAGAAAAAAAACAUCCUAUCAAGAUAAUAUCAAAAAGUGUGUUUAGGGGAUUUUAUCUGGUUAUCUGGUCAUGGCUCAGAGAAUGAUGUUUGUGUUCUCUCUCUCUCUCUCAUGGGAAAAAUACGUUAAAAAACGAGAGGAAAAACGUUUUAAACAAUAAAUGCCUGGCCUCUUAGGGCCUCCGUAAUGCGAAGAUCUUCCAUGAUCCAGAGGAAAAAGGUUAUAUGGGUUUGGAAUGGAUAAACAUGGUGAUAUGCCUGCGAGCCUCUUGUGGUGAAGUACAGCUGCACAUAGAAUCAUCUGGAAAGAACUUUGACUCAAAUGAGCCUUUCUCCAAGGCAUGUUGGAAUCACUUUGGGAAGCGUGUGGCGGGAUUAACGUGCACCACCCGUGGGGUCCGGCACACCCCACACUGGCACACUGGGCUCUCCGACAUGCUGCCUGACCCCCAAG